GGCGGAAUUGGUAGACGCGCUAGCUUCAGGUGUUAGUGUUCUUACGGACGUGAGGGUUCAAGUCCCUCC
rnacentral:tRNA from 9 species